UAACAGAUGGGAUGUGAAACAGAACCAGUUUAAGGCAACUUGGUCCACUUUGAGGAAAUUCAGUUUCCACUACUAGUACUUAAAUGAAGCUUAGAAUUUUUGUCCUGCCAAAAUGACGUCAAGUCACAUUUAUGCAGAAAAUGCCAGACUAUUGUAACUGUUAAACCAAUCCUGCUCUUGUAACCUUCUAUCUGUUCAUCUUGUGCCACAUGACAGGACAUCAUUUUCAUUUCCUCCAGAGGAUGCGGCUAUAAAACGCCAUCUUGGAAGCGAGACUGGGCUCUCAGCAGACACCAAACCUUCAUCUGGGACUUCCCAGCCUCCAGAACUGUGA
rnacentral:lncRNA from 10 species